rnacentral:rRNA from 1 species
ACUGUCAAUGAUGUGCUGGUUGCAGUGACUUCUGCUGCCCUAUCAAGAUAUUACUUCCGCAAGUCCGCUUCAAUGUCAGGUGACACUAACACUAGCAAAAUCUGUUUGCGAUCACUCCUUCCUGUCAACACAAGGCCAGCCACUAGCCUACAGACAUAUGUUAUUGUGAUAGAAUCUGAUAAGAGGAACGAGGUGACAUGGGGAAAUAAACUGGGCCACAUUAUUCUUCCAUUUUAUCUGGCCAUGCACGAUGAUCCACUUGCAUAUAUUCGCAAGGCAAAGAAGGUUCUUGAUAGGAAAAAGAGGUCACUCGAAGUGAUAUUCACAUAUAAGAUUGGUCUAAUUUUCACGAAAGUUUUUGGUGUCAAGGUAGGAACUUCAAUCUUUCGGUGUCUAUUCACACGUACAACAAUAGUUUUCUCAAACAUGGUUGGACCAGCUGAACAAGUAGAGUUAUGUGGACACCCGGUGGCUUUCCUUGCGCCUAGCGUCUAUGGGAUUCCAGAGGCUCUGAUUAUUCACUACCAAAGCUACAGAAGCACUAUCAAGAUAAUCCUAUCAAUAGACGAGGACAAGUUUCCAGAUUAUCAUCAACUUUUGGAUGACUUUGACCAGACCCUCACGGUCAUGAAGGACGCGGCUUCAAGACUUUCAACGUCAACUAAGAAUGACUAA